rnacentral:rRNA from 1 species
UACGUAGGGUGCGAGCGUUGUCCGGAAUUAUUGGGCGUAAAGAGCUUGUAGGUGGUUUUGUCGCGUCUGCUGUGAAAAUCCGAGGCUCAACCUCGGACUUGCAGUGGGUACGGGCAGACUAGAGUGUGGUAGGGGAGACUGGAAUUCCUGGUGUAGCGGUGAAAUGCGCAGAUAUCAGGAGGAACACCCGAUGGCGAAGGCAGGAUC